UUUCAAUUUGAAAGACGAUUGGUGUUAGACGUGUCAGAAGAUAUUUUAUACGAAAAAAAAAGAAAUAUUCGAAGAUUUAAUUGAAUAAUUUUUAAGGAGAUAAAAGGAUCACGAGCAUACCACAUCAAUUUAUUUUUAAAUGUCGGACGACGAAAUUAAUUUUUCAACUAAUUUUUAUUUUCCUGUUGUUUGGGUGUUACAAACCACAAACCACAGUAGUGGUGUAGCAGUUUUUGUUAUCGUUGCAAUUGCAACUUGCCCAUGAACAUUCCAUUAAGUAACUGGGGCAAACUUCUCACAAAUCAAUGAGUGCUGUCCGAUUCAAUUAAAAGAUCAAUGAUAAGGGACCUCCUUUUUAUAGCCGAGUCCAAACGGAGUGCCGCAGGGCGACACCUCUUUGGGGAGAAGUAUUUUACAUGGAAAAGUACCUCACACAGCAUUAGGAGGGGAUAACCACCGCUGAACAAUUUUCUAAUGUUCUGCCAGGAUUCGAACCCAAGCGUUCAGCGCCACAGGAGGACAUGCUAACCUCUGCGCUACGGUGGCCUCGUUUUGCUAUUGUUGACAUUUCUAAAUUUUUUUUAUUGCCUAUUUUCUCUCCCUCUCUUCCUUCCACAUCGCCACCUCGUACAGCAACACUUAACUCAACGCCACAGAUUUUAGCCAACAUCCUGCAUACAUUGCGACGGACUUAGUAUGCAUGGUCUUUUAACAGAGCAGCGGCGGUCAACUAUUGCACCUCACCAACCAACCAACAGUGAAUAGGAAAAGUUAAUUGAAAUAUUUCAAAAAAGUGCCCUCUGCUGUAUGUCUCUGCAAGCCAAGCGCUUCCACACCACUUCAUUUCAAAACCAAGCAGCUCAGCGGUUCGUUCUAUUCUGUACGAAGCAAAAACUUAAAUCGUUUUUGCCAAUUUUUACAUACGAGCGGCUAGAUGAAAGUGUUCGAUUUUUAAUAGAAUUCAAUAGUUGGCAGUGGAUAUUUGUCUAUCGCCGGCGAUUUAUUUGUUUCUAGUUUUCCGGCGGACGAAUUCAGAGUUAAGGCUUACAAUGUGCGUCGUCCGGUGCAAAGAAUAGGCUCUAGCCCUAAACACAGCAAGGACAAGACGGUAACGUGUCCGUCCAUUUCAUUGGUUAUUGAUUUGUUCGUGAUCAGGUUACACGUGAAGUUCUCCUUUGAUGCCGAUACACUUGCCCUAAAAUCCAUGCUAAAGUUGCUGACAAGCUGGCAGCAUAGUUUUGCAUUGGCUCUCCCCCUGCAAUUCAGUUUUGCCAAGCAUGGGUCCAUUUUGGGAAUUAAACUUUUGACCGUUGGGCGCCACAUAACUUUAAAAAUCUGCAAAUUUGCAGCAAAUUAAUUUGCUGUGGUUACCUUAAGUGACCAGGAAAAGAGUUUCUGGGAAGUAGAUGAAGAGAGAGAGAGAGAGAUUUGGCAAAAUGAAAAAGGAUAAAUGAAAUCACCAUGGAAAAUUUAUAACAAUAGCCAGCAUUCAAAUCGAUCAACUUGUGUUUUGCAUAAUAGGCAGGUGGCAAAUUAUAAGCGGGCUUGCCUGAUAAAAACUAGAUCUUGUUUCAUGUUGAAGUUUAGGACAACAAAGAAAAUGCAAAGAACGAAAACUCAUUUAUGAACAGAAUCCAAUGUGGAGAAGAAAUUCAAAAAUGGAACCCAAUUUCUUAGGGAAUCAGUACCCCUAUGGGAAAUAAUGAAAACUCUUUAAUGGUGGAAAUUUUUUUAAAAUAAAUGUUUUUAAAUAAACUUUACCACAACCUA